rnacentral:tRNA from 1 species
CAAGUUAAAUCUUUAAAGGAAGUUUUUUAUUUACAUUAAAAUGAUCAUUGUGCAAUUCAAUGUAAUUUGA